rnacentral:ncRNA from 1 species
AUGCAUGGUUGCCCGUAUUCUAUACGGGCAUGAAAAGGGAAUACGGUGAAAAUCCGUAACAGCCCCCGCUACUGUAAGAAGGACGAACGUUUUCAUGAAAAGCUUUUCGCCGGACGGUAAAAGCUUUGGCCACUGGGAAACUGGGAAGGCCGGAAAGCAAGUAGGUAGACUUCAAGUCAGGAGACCUGCCAUGGAUGAA